UCAUUUACUAUUAUCUUUCCUUCAUUAUCUUUUUUAUUUUUAUUUGUGUUGUGUUUAUUUUUGGGUUAAGUAGGGUUAGCUUGGGCUUAAGGCCCAUGGUGAUUUUUGGCAUACCUCAUAUCAAUAUUGCACUCUCUUGUAUCAUCUUGUUUGGUUUUCUAUUUUGUUUCGCUUUUAUUUAUUUAUUUAUUUAUAUAUUCUUUUUAGUCAACAAAUUGAUUAGAUUUUAA
rnacentral:lncRNA from 1 species